UACAGAGGUCUCAAGCGUUGUUCGGAUUCAUUGGGCGUAAAGGGUGCGUAGGUGGCGCCGUAAGUCAGGUGUGAAAUCCCGGGGCUCAACCCCGGAACUGCACUUGAUACUGCGGUGCUUGAGUACUGGAGAGGAGAUUGGAAUUUACGGUGUAGCAGUGAAAUGCGUAGAUAUCGUAAGGAAGACCAGUGGCGAAGGCGAAUCUCUGGACAGUUACUGACACUGAGGCACGAAGGCCAGGGGAGCAAACAGG
rnacentral:rRNA from 1 species